UUAAAUCUCCUCAAUCAGCCCAAAAUCUUUCUUUCUCUCUCCCCACGAGAUCCCCAAUCCCUCCUCAGAUCUUCAAUCGGACCUCCCCCUCCAUCUCCUACGCGACAUCCACAACGACGACGAUCUCCCAAAUCGGACCAAUUUCAAACCGUAGCUUCCAGAUCCGCCUUCCCCAACUCCCUCGAGCUCGAUCUCAAGUUGCCCCAACUCAGGUACUGUAUUCAAGAAGAUCAAGUAGACUAAUUAUCUACUUGGUUCCCUGUGGCUUUUGCUUUGCUCCUUUUGUUGGGAGUUUAAUAUGGCCUGAACUAUAAUGACAGAACUUGAAGGCUGCUGUGGUUGCCCUCUUACUUUUGUUUUGUUUAGGGCGAAAUAGAUUAUGCUUUAUGCAUAUAUUUCCCUUUAUCGCCCAUUAUAUAUGUAUCUCUUUCAUGUGUACUGAUGUAUGAAUAUUCUUUACGCAUAUAUAUUCCUUCUUCAGAUUU